UACGUAGGGAGCGAGCGUUGUCCGGAUUCAUUGGGCGUAAAGAGCUCGUAGGCGGCUUGAUAAGUCGGAUGUGAAACCUCCAGGCUCAACCUGGAGUCGCCAUCCGAUACUGUCAUGGCUAGAGUCCGGUAGGGGCCCACGGAAUUCCUGGUGUAGCGGUGAAAUGCGCAGAUAUCAGGAGGAACACCGAUGGCGAAGGCAGGUCUCUGGGCAUUAACUGACGCUGAGGAGCGAAAGCAUGGGGAGCGAACAGG
rnacentral:rRNA from 1 species